rnacentral:rRNA from 1 species
CAAAGCGUCAUAGGAGGACAUUACUGAAUGAAUUUGGGCGACGCUGUCGCUGGCUUUCACUUUGUGGAGGCAUGUGCACGCGUCGUUCAUUCCAUUUUCAAACCUCUGUGCACUUCUCACGGGUUCGAGCGCGACGUCUGGUAACACGGCGAAGCGCGACGCCUGUGUGUUCUCUUCACAAACCACUGUUUGUCUGCAGAAUGUUUUCUUUUGAGCAUGCAACUGCGUGCCGAUAAAUACAACUUUCAGCAACGGAUCUCUUGGCUCUCGCAUCGAUGAAGAACGCAGCGAAAUGCGAUAAGUAAUGUGAAUUGCAGAAUUCAGUGAAUCAUCGAAUCUUUGAACGCACCUUGCGCUCCUUGGUAUUCCGAGGAGCAUGCCUGUUUGAGUGUCAUGGUAUUCUCAACCCCCUCCCUGUCGCUCCUCUGCAAAGAGGGUGCGCAGUGUCGUGGGCUUGGUCUUGGAGGUUGUUUUUUUGCCGGGCUCUCCUGCGAGCGCCGGCUCCUCUCAAAUGCAUUAGCCUGAAUGUUUGCCUGGGCGCGCCUCGAUGUGAUAAUUGUCGACGUCGCCGCUCGCCCGGCAGCUCUGUCGUUCAGGCUUCCAGUCGUCGACGCGUCUGUCGACAAAAUUUAAUUUUCUUGACAUCUGACCUCAAAUCAGGUAGGACUACCCGCUGAACUUAAGCAUAUCAAAAACCGGGAAGGAAA